rnacentral:rRNA from 1 species
UACGGAGGGGGCUAGCGUUGUUCGGAAUUACUGGGCGUAAAGCGCACGUAGGCGGCUUUGUAAGUUAGAGGUGAAAGCCUGGGGCUCAACCCCGGGUCGGCCGUGCGAACUGUUUUGCUUGAGCACUGUAGAGGCAGGCGGAAUUCCGGGUGUAGCGGUGGAAUGCGUAGAGAUCCGGAAGAACACCGGUGGCGAAGGCGGCCUGCUGGGCAGUAGCUGACACUGAGGCGCGACAGCGUGGGGAGCAAACAGG